GGUUCUAUGGGGUAGUGGUUAUCCCCCGAGAUUUUGAAAUGCAGUUUCUUCUCGUGACCCCGGUUCGAAUCCGGGUAGGACCU